rnacentral:rRNA from 1 species
UGGGGAAUCUUGCGCAAUGCGCGAAAGCGUGACGCAGCAACGCCGCGUGAGGGAAGAAGGCCUUCGGGUUGUAAACCUCUUUCAGGAGGGACGAAGGUUCGGCGGUGAAUAGCCGUCCGGACUGACGGUACCUCCAGAAGAAGCCCCGGCUAACUACGUGCCAGCAGCCGCGGUAAUACGUAGGGGGCUAGCGUUGUCCGGAAUCAUUGGGCGUAAAGCGCGCGUAGGCGGCCCGGUAAGUCCGUUGUAAAAGUCAAAGGCUCAACCUUUGAAAGCCGAUGGAUACUGCCGGGCUAGAGUCCGGAAGAGGCGAGUGGAAUUCCUGGUGUAGCGGUGGAAUGCGCAGAUAUCAGGAGGAACACCUAUAGCGAAGGCAGCUCGCUGGGACGGUACUGACGCUGAGGCGCGAAAGCGUGGGGAGCGAACAG